AUUCCAUGAUAGGGACAUUGUCUCAACAUAUCUUUAAACCUUUCCCAAGCAUCAAAUAAAGAUUCAUCUUCCCCUUGCCUAAAAUAAGUGAUUUCAUUCCUCAUUUU